GACGAACGCUGGCGGCGUGCUUAACACAUGCCAGUCGAACGCUGAAGCUCAGCUUGCUGGGUGGAUGAGUGGCGAACGGGUGAGUAACACGUGAGUAACCUGCCCUCUUCUUUGGGAUAACGCCCGGAAACGGGUGCUAAUACUGGAUAUUCACUGAUUCUCGCAUGGGGGUUGGUGGAAAGGUUUUUUCUGGUGGGGGAUGGGCUCGCGGCCUAUCAGCUUGUUGGUGGGGUGAUGGCCUACCAAGGCUUUGACGGGUAGCCGGCCUGAGAGGGUGACCGGUGACAUUGGGACUGAGAUACGGCCCAGACUCCUACGGGAGGCAGCAGUGGGGAAUAUUGCACAAUGGGCGAAAGCCUGAUGCAGCGACGCCGCGUGAGGGAUGGAGGCCUUCGGGUUGUAAACCUCUUUCGCUCAUGGUCAAGCCGCAGCUUUGGGUUGUGGUGAGGGUAGUGGGUAAAGAAGCGCCGGCUAACUACGUG
rnacentral:rRNA from 1 species